AGCAGCCGCGGUAAUUCCAGCUCCAAUAGCGUAUAUUAAAGUUGUUGCAGUUAAAAAGCUCGUAGUUGAAUUUCGGGAUUGGCGCAUCGGUCGUGCCUCACGGGGUAUGAACUGGUGCAGUCAAUUUCUCACCUUCUGGAGAACCGCGAUGUCCUUAAUUGGAUGCCGCGGGGAACCAGGACCUUUACUUUGAAAAAAUUAGAGUGUUUAAAGCAGGCAUUUUUGCUUGAAUACAUUAGCAUGGAAUAAUAAAAUAGGACGGCAUGGUUCUAUUUUGUUGGUUUCUAGGACCACCGUAAUGAUUAAUAGGGAUAGUUGGGGGCAUUAGUAUUCAAUUGUCAGAGGUGAAAUUCUUGGAUUUAUUGAAGACUAACUACUGCGAAAGCAUUUGCCAAGGAUGUUUUCAUUAAUCAAGAACGAAAGUUAGGGGAUCGAAGACGAUCAGAUACCGUCGUAGUCUUAACCAUAAACUAUGCCGACUAGGA
rnacentral:misc_RNA from 1 species